UCUAGAGUGUGUAGACAAAAUCUAUAAUAAUAUAAGAGAAAAAAAAACAAAUAACGCUUUAAAAUUUCAUAUCGUAAUCAUUAUCAAUUUUGUAGAGUAGGAGAUAUUGUUAUAAUUCAUUGUUUUUGAAAAGAGAAAAUCUUCAUAGUAAUAUUUGGCAACCGAAAGUUACAAACCAUCGAUCAUCAAGAGGAAGAUACAAUCAAUAAACCUGUACCAACCAUCUGCUACAUCUCUACCAUAUAAAUCUAUAACGACUAAUACAAAAUGAAAGUUCCAAAUCGGUGUUGUUACUGUUGCCUUCUCAUUUGCAUAACUGCUAAUUAUCAUUAGAGAGAAACAUGAGAGAAGACGAAGCCUGCAUAUGACUAAUGUUACUUUGGAUCCCACAGCUUAUUUUCUUAAUCUUAGCCUCAAAUUCCUUGAGUUCCUCAAGCGUAAGCUCCUCAAUGGGCUUAUUGAACUUAUCCUGUUCAGCAGAUUCAAGCCACUUGUGAAGAUCUUCACCAUGUUUCUUCUCAGCUUCAGCUUCUUCAGUAAUCGAGUUGAGGCGUUUACAUAUCUUCUUCUCCUGUCUAGCUCUAUUGCCUCUACUAUAGCCUGAUGUUUCACAGCUAUCUCCUUCUUCUUCUUCUUCGAAUUCAUUCUUAAACCGUUCUGCAAUCACAUCAAAAUUCGGUUUCCCGAAGGAAUACGGUUUGUUUCCUGGAGAAAAGACAACAAUACCAACCUCCGCGUUGCACAGAGUCGCAAGCUCGCUCGCUUUCUUGAACAAACCCAGCCUACGUUUUGAGAAGGUAACUUGCUUCGUGUUUGUGUCUUGCACUUUCUCCAUCUUAAUCUUUCUCCUACCCAUUUCUUUUUUUUUGUGUGAAAUGUUUUGAGUGAUUGUAAUCUAUGUUUGUGUAUAUAAGAAGAAGAUUGUAUUUCUUUAUGUAUUUAUAGUAAUGAAUGUGGAGAAAGUUGUUAUUGAACCUCAUCAUCAUAUAUGUAUAUUUUUAGUAAACUUUUGUUUUUGCAUAUAUAUACAUAUUUAGUAACUCCACUUUGAAAAUCUUGCAUUACCUUAUGAGAGCAUUGAAUAUUUUCCAUGUAUUUAAUCAAUAUUCAUAGAUAUUUAACUAUUAUUAGUAUUAUCUUACUAUUAGACCUCUUAUUAAAUGGUAGUUUGAAUUACAAGGAGAACUUUACCAAGUUAAUAAACAAAAUUUCUUCUUUACCAAAAUAGUUUAUUUCCACCCAACAAACAAUAAUAGUAGUUUGACA
rnacentral:sRNA from 1 species